GACGAACCGUGCGAACGUUAUUCGGAAUCACUGGGCUUAAAGCGCGUGUAGGCGGGAGGGCACGUCCGUCGCUGAAAUCCCCCGGCUCAACCGGGGAACGGGCGCGGAUACGACCUUCCUGGAGGGGCGUAGGGGGACCUGGAACUUCCGGUGGAGCGGUGAAAUGCGUUGAGAUCGGAAGGAACGCCCGUGGCGGAAGCGAGGUCCUGGACGCCUACUGACGCUGAGACGCGAAAGCCAGGGGAGCGAACGGG
rnacentral:rRNA from 1 species